AGCCCAAGAUUGAAAGCUGGCGUCUUCGGCGUCCGCAUUGUAAUCUCAAGAAGUGUUUUCCGCUUCGGACCAAGCCUAAGUCCCCUGGAAAGGGGCAUCAUAGAGGGUGAUAAUCCCGUACAUGGCUUGGAGCGCCCGAGGCUUUGUGAUACGCUUUCUAAGAGUCGAGUUGUUUGGGAAUGCAGCUCAAAAUGGGUGGUAAAUGCCAUCUAAGGCUAAAUAUUGGGGAGAGACCGAUAGCGAACAAGUACAGUGAUGGAAAGAUGAAAAGAACUUUGAAAAGAGAGUUAAACAGUACGUGAAAUUGCCAAAAGGGAAGGGUAGGAGGUCAGAGAUGCGGCCUGGGAUUCAGCCUUGCUUUUGCUUGGUGUUUUUCCCAGAUUGCAGGCCAACGUCGGUUUUGGGCACUGGAGAAGGGUAGGAGGAACGUGGCACCCCUCGGGGUGUGUUAUAGCCUCCUACUGGAUACAGCGACCGAGACCGAGGACAGCAGCGUACUCGCAAGAGC
rnacentral:rRNA from 1 species